CCCGCCCCCACCGCGGCCCCAGACCUGGGCCUGGGCUUCUGCUGGCAGAGCCCAGCCCCUGCAGCCUUGAGGACAGUGGCCACACUGUCACACCCCUCACCUGCAACUCACAGGGUCGGAAUGGAGGCCAAAUCUUGAUCUUAGUGGCUUAGGGGAAGAAGCCAGAAGCCCGUGGUUAGGGAUACCGGGCCCUAUGAUGGAGCUGGAGGCCGGGAGCCCACUGCCCUCCUUGGUAUACCCUAUGGGCCUCAGUUUUCUUAUAUUGUUCUCUUUUAUAGAUGAGGAAACUGAGGUACACAGGCUCCCCCCAGCAGUGUCCCCACGCUCCACAGCCCCACAUCUGCCAAGAUGGUACUGCUGCCUUGCACCAAGCUACCCAAUGCUUGCUCUCUCCUCAGCCCUGUAGCUCUCAUCCCAUCUCCAGCAGGAAACUAGCAACAGAAGGAAGAAGACCAAAGGCCCCAGAACCAGGAUCCGGAGUCCUCCAGCUGAUUUAUCUCAAGAAUCCCUGGGCCACGUCUGAAGAAACAGGCCAGGCUUCCUUGCAUGUCCCCACACCCACCUGAGGAUGGCUUGAAGAGCAGGGACCUGAGCCUGGCGCCACCAGCUUCUCCAGGAGCCCCCAGAGCCUGGAGGGAAGACGUAGCUCCUGUGCCAGAGCAGCUGUGGGAGCAUCCUUUCAUCCCAGCCACAAGAAGGCCACAACCUCUUCAGAGGAUGGAAGAUACUUCUGGUCCUGUCAGGAGGCCCAGUUAUGGUCUUCUCAUCCAUGCAGAAGUGGGAACCGAGGAAGGUUGUGGGACACUGGUUGUCAGGGCUUUCUAAGAGCCAAAAUGAGGAGGUCUUGCAAGCCAGCCAGGGGGCCCCAACCAAGGCCCACACCAGGUGGGCAGCGAGUCCUGGACCGAGGCCCAGCCGCACAGGGCCUCGGAUUCCUCAGAGCAUGCCCGCACGCAUAGGGAAAGAAUCACCUGGACCUUGUUCAAGCAUUUGCCCUGGCCCUACCACCUCGGGCCUGAGGGACAGGAUUUGGGCAGUUUGGCCCAGGAGCCCACGUCUCUGAAGGCAGCUCAUGUCGACAUGGGUAUGUGCCUCCCUUUACAAGGCUGUCUGGCUCGGAGAAGGAAAACCAAUUAGGUCUCCCCACUUGUGGAGACUGGUGAGCCACUUUGAAGCCACCUCUGCCCCUCCCCACUCCAGAACACAAGGCCGGAAACAAGCCCCAUGGGGUUUGCCCAUCACAGGUAGAGGCAGCUAAGCACCACGGGGAGAGCAGGAACCUCUCAGGAAGGACUGGGGCCUGCCCACCGGCCCCAUCCUGGGGGUCCCGCCUGCUGGGGGCCCUGCUUACCAGCUGGAAGCCACCCUGCAACACCCCACAUUUGGGCCACCCGAAGGAAGGAUGCAGGUUGGGGUUUGCAUUAACCAUGUGGAAGCUAGGGUCUCCUAACAGACAUCUUGGGGACUGAGAGACACUUCUUUCCUGGUCUCAGUUUCCUCCCAGGUGGUGGGUCCCAGGGAAUAGCCAUCCAGCCCAGGGAAGCUUCAGCCAGCUGGAAUUCUUCAGGAAAUGUGAGACCAGCUCUCGGCCCUGACUCUAAUUGAUCUCACCUCACGAGGUGUGCGACAAGCUGCCCAAUCUGGUUUCCCCUGCAAGUCCACCAUCCCCUAGGACCAGCUGUCUCUCUAAACUUGGAAAUUUCAGACAUUAGAAAGGGCAUUAUGAAUUCACAAGGACAAGGAUUCCGUUUUAUUCUCCUGACUUCUCAACCUGUAACACCCAGCGUGGAGUGGGAUGUCUGCUAAGACAGGGGUCCUCAGAAACACAGUGUGCUGGCAGCCUACCAUGUGCUUGGGUCCCAGUCCUCCUCAUCACAGUGGACAGCAGUGAGGGACAGAAAGGCAAAGGGGCGACCUAAGGCCUGACAUGUCCUUCAGUGGAGUGAUGUGUCCUUCAGUGGUGUGCUUAGGAGGUAUUGUCUCAGGGGUGAGGCAGACUAGCCCUAGAGGCAGCUCUGGAUCUGUCCUAACACACUUUAAAAGCAAGACCCCAAAGGAUCUACCUGAUUCCAAGUAACUGUAUGCCAAAAUGAAAACCAACACUUUUUACAUGAAUAAAACAAUCUAGCACUCAA